GGGGCGGUGGUCAAGUGGGAUGUCACUCUGCCUUGUAGGCAGAGAGGUCGGUGGUUCGAAUCCACCCUGCUCCA
rnacentral:tRNA from 1 species